CCUCAAACUUGCAGUCAUCUUCCUGCCUCAGCUUCCUGAGAGCUGGGCAUAUAGGUAUGCACCGACAUGCUCGGCCUCACCUAUUUGCUGAAACGAUUCCAAGUUAAGAAUCCUGCCAUGAGACACAGGUACUUAUCUGAAGCCAUUUAAGACACUUAUUUCAGAUUCACUGCAAAAUCAAGGAAGAUGCAGAGACUCCCACCAAACCUACUGUCCUCACACACCAGCAGCAUCUACCGCUAUUGACAUGUGCCAAUGUGUCGCCCCCGGAGGGAUGUCAACAGAGUACGUCCCAGCCCCACAGAGCCCUGGGUGCUCAUCUGAAGUUUAAAAUCAGGAGAGUCUGACAUCGGAUUAAACUUUUUUUUUCUGAAGAGAAAUAGCAGAAAUGGAGAAGGAAAUCAUCAUUGGUUCUUGGACUGGGCUGUACAUUAUGAAAGCAUCUGUAGAGAUUUUUAGAGACAUCAGUGCCCCGCCUUCUGGUUUAAUGAACCUGGAGGGGGCUGGGCAUUAGGACUUCUAGAAUGUUCUAGGUGAGUCUGUGCUGAGGUGUCACUCAGCGGGAAGCGCUUGCCUGGCACACACAAGGUCCUGAGGUCACCAGGGGAGGCCAGAGACGACACAGGAAGGCCGGUCAGGAUACCCCGAGGGUGGGCCUGGUGUGACCACGGUGUGAUGGCCAUGAGGCGAGCCACAUUGCAGGGGGUCACCGAGGAAGAAAGCGAGGAAGCAGGCGAGCGUCUGGGGAGCUCGGGGUGAAGGUAGUGAAGCGGCGGUGGGGAGGGGGCCCAGGCCUUUUUGCUGGAAGGGCAUCGCUGUCGUCUGGUCUGCCUGAGGGAAGGGAGCGGGGCCAGAGCAGCUGUGGGGAGCAGAGCAGGGAGGAACUGUCCAGAGCUUUGCAGAGGCCGCUGGAGCUGCUCGGACUAGCACGGGCUGCUUGCUUCUCUGAGCCGCAGGUGAAGACGUUUCUGGAAGGGUGCAGGCCUCCUCUCUGAGAAGGGGGGAUUCCAGUCCCACCCAGGAUCCCCCUUUCCAGGCCCAGCUCCUGGAACUCAGCCUAAUGCUCCUGCCCUCGAAUGCGGCUACCGCUCCCGGACUGGAGGCAGCAGGACCUGAGGGCCCCACCUGGUCACCGUCGCAGUCCUGAGGCACUGCUCUGAGUCCCUGCUGUUCGUGGAGCCCUAGGCACAGCUGGGAAAGAGCGGCUGUGGGGACGGGGCCAGCCGGGACAGCUGCGCUACCUUUCCCUGCAGGGGCGCCUCCUCUGCUGCCCCAGAGCUCACAGCGGCCCUGGCUUCUGGCUACAUCACCGUUGGUCAGGGUUCCUGGAGGAACAGAAAUGGGUAGGAGGCCACCGCAGCGAGGCCCGCGUGUCGCUCACCCACAGACGACUGCAGACUGUGCUGCUAGCACAGCUCAUCUGCCAGGUGUCUCUGAACCCCUGGUCCCCCGAGUGCCAUCCAUCAGGAAAUCCUUGACUCUUGUCUCCAGAAGCAGCCGGAACUGAUCUGCUUCCUGCCUCGAGUUGGGCCAAAUGUGCUCACAGUGGGGUUUGCAGAGGAGCCUCACGUCACGGGGAAGCCUGCCCUGGUCUCCAGCAGGACCUGUCCAUCGGCCUCAGCAGAGCCUCCCUGUCUACGCCAGCUCCGGGGAAGGGCGUAUUCCGUUCGUAGAUGCCAGCUGGUCCCCAACAUGGGACGUUGGCCCUGGCUGCUCCCUGCACCUUCAGGUGCUCAGGCUGUGACCUCAGGACCUGCUUUGUACUUACUUGAUGUAACUGGCAACUUCCUCGGGGAAACCUCGGCCGGUUCAUGAGCCACAGGAGCCCUCCUUACCGAACUCCAGCAUGUAACCCUCAGCAGAGCACC